rnacentral:lncRNA from 1 species
CCAUUAUAGUUGAAUUACAGUAUUCUGUCCAUUUCUACUGUACAGCAAAGUGACCCAGUCGUACACACAUAUAUAUAUAUUCUUUUUUUCACAUUAUCCUCCCCAUCAUGUUCCAUCACAAGUGACUAGGUAUAGUUCCCUGUGCUAUAUAACAGGAUCUCAUUGCUUAUCCACUCUAAAUGUAAUAGUUUACAUCUAUUAAACUCAAACUCCCAGUCCGUCCCACUCCCUCCCCCUCUACCUUAGCAAACACAGGUCUAUUCUCCAAGUCUAUGAGUUUCUCUUCUGUGGAAAGGUUCAUUUGUGCUGUAUAUUAGAUUCCAGAUAUAAGUGGUAUCAUAUGGUAUUUGUCUUUCUCUUUCUGACUUACUUCACUAAGUAAGAGAGUCUCUAGUUCCAUCCAUGUUGCUGCAAAUGACAUUACUUUGUUCUUUUUUAUGGCUAAGUACUACUCCAUUGUGUAUAUAUAUAUAUCUUCUUAAUUCAGUCAUCUAUUGAUGGACAUUUAGAUUGUCUCCAUGUCUUGGCUAUUGUGAACAGUGCUGCAAUGAACAUAUGGGUGCAUGUUCUUUUUAAAAUGAAAGUUUUGUCUGUAUAUAUGCCCAGGAAUGGGAUUGUUGGAUCAGAGGUACCUCAAUACUGUUUUCCAUAGUGGUUGUACCAAUUUAUAUUCCCACCAACAGUGUUGGAGGGUUACCUUUUCUCCACACACUCUACAGCAUUUUUCAUUUGUUGACUUUUUAAUGAUGGCCAUUCUGACAGGUGUGAGGCGUACCUCAUUGAAAUUUUGAUUUACAUUCCUCUAGUAAGUAGUGAUGUUGAAUACUUUUUCAUGUGUCUGUUGGCCAUCUGUAUAUCUUCUUUGGAGAAAUGUCUAUUCAGGUCUACUGCACAUUUUUCAAUUUGGUUGCUGGUUUUUUUUGCUGUUGAGUUAUAUAAGUUAUUUGCAUAUUUUAAAGAUUAAGCCUUUGUCAGUUGCAUCAUUUGAAACUAUUUUCUCCCAUUUCGUAGGUUUUAUUUUUGGUUUUUUUAUGGUUUCCUUUGUGGUGCAAAAGCUUGUCAUUUUGAUUAGGUCCCAUUGGUUUAUUUUUGCUUUUAUUUCUGCUGCCUUGGAAGACUGACCUAAGAAAAUAUUUGUACAGUUGAUGUUGGAGAAUGUUUUUCCUAUGUUCUCUUCUAGGAGUUUGACGGUAUCUUGCCUCAUGUUAAGUCUUUAACUGAAUAGGGAUAUUUAAAUGGGCAUCAGGUAGUGGAAAAUUGGUAAUGUUUUGUUAAUAUGGCAUUAAUUCUGCUGGUAUCGUGGCUUGAAUUUCACAAAGAAAAGUGAUUGCUUAGAAGAUUUUAAUUUUUCAUCUUUUUUUAAAAACCAAAAACCCAGAAGAAAAUCAAUAAGAUAGCACUGAGCAAGGUUUAACUCCAUUACACUUUGGAAUUUAAAUUGAACUUGUGUGCCCCAUAGUCAAUUAAAGAUACUUUUCUCCGAACUCUCCUGACAAGACAUUUCCAAAGAGCUUAAGAUGUAUUUAUUCGCUUUGUAGAGAUCUGAAAACUGGCUCUGAAAGAAAAAAAAUGUCAUGAAUGCUACUGCGAAUGUUUUUAACUUUUAGAGUUAUCCCAUGAGAGACUAGGCAUAAUUGAGUUAGAAAAGACACACAGACAGCUGGGCCAGGACUUGCUCCUGAGGCAAAAAUAAACUCAUUAAAGGUUAAACUCUGUGCAGCGUCUUUAAGACCAAGCCGUGAAGCAGAGCCGCAGCACUGAAUGGGACCAUCACAGUAAUCUCAUCUGAGAUAAGGCCUCCUGUGCAGAGCUGGGCUCAGAAUUCUCCCACGAGAGACUGCAGGGUGUAUUCAGUCAUGUCUCACUGAAUCCACUCUAUUUGCAAGAGUGAGUCACAGAAUUGUUAUUUAUGCUGAAAAGAGAUCAUUAUUUUCUAACUAUUGUGGUAUUUUGUUUUGUUCUCAUUUUUAUUUUCUAAUAUUUUGCUGUUACUCAUCAGUCUCCAAAUUUAAUUAUGAAAAACCUGGAACAAUCUUUUUUUCACAAUCCCCUUCCUCCCUUUCUCCCAUCUCUCAGCUUCCAGGAAUGAUGCUCCAUCCCUAACUCAAGGGCCACAUACAAUCACUGCUUUCAGUGGUAGCUGAGUUCCCUCUUCCCCUAGCAUAACUGUAAUCAAGUAGAACCCUAUGAGGACUUCCUGGAACAGACACCCCUCCCAUA